rnacentral:sRNA from 1 species
CGCACCGAUCAGAUCGGGAUACUCAUCAAAUAAUAUUGAAAACAGGAGCACACUGCUGCGUCAAUGGCGGGCCACAGUUUGCAAUAUGUGUUGCAAAUAGCGGAUUUCUGUCGGUGGAUUACAAAGACCAGUAGCACUCUAAUCUUAUUUUAACAGGAGUUUUCAUCACAAUCGCGGUGCGUUCCC